AUCAACUUUCGAUGGUAGGAUAGAGGCCUACCAUGGUGGUAACGGGUAACGGGGUGUUAGGGCACGACACCGGAGAGGGAGCCUGAGAAACGGCUACCACAUCCAAGGAUGGCAGCAGGCGCGCAAAUUACCCAAUCCCGACACGGGGAGGUAGUGACAAUAAAUAACAAUACGGGGUUCUUUCGGAUUUCGUAAUUGGAAUGAGUACAAUUUAAAUCUCUUAACGAGGAACAAUUGGAGGGCAAGUCUGGUGCCAGCAGCCGCGGUAAUUCCAGCUCCAAUAGCGUAUAUUAAAGUUGCUGCAGUUAAAAAGCUCGUAGUUGAAUUUCGGGACCAAUAUGUCGGUCGUACCUCGGUACGUACUGGCAUCGUUGGUUUCUCCCUUCUGACGAACCAUGAUGUCAUUUAUUUGGUGUCGUGGGGAAUCAGGACUGUUACUUUGAAAAAAUUAGAGUGUUUAAAGCAGGCUCACGCUUGAAUACAUUAGCAUGGAAUAAUGAAAUAGGACGUUUGAUUCUAUUUUGUUGGUUUCUAGGAUUGACGUAAUGAUUAAUAGGGAUAGUUGGGGGCAUUAGUAUUCAAUUGUCAGGGGUGAAAUUCUUGGAUUUAUUGAAGACUAACUACUGCGAAAGCAUUUGCCAAGGAUGUUUUCAUUAAUCAAGAACGAAAGUUAGGGGAUCGAAGACGAUCAGAUACCGUCGUAGUCUUAACCAUAAACUAUGCCGACUAGGGAUCGGAUGAUGUUAAUUUUUUAAUGACUCAUUCGGCGCCUUACGGGAAACCAAAGUGUUUGGGUUC
rnacentral:rRNA from 1 species